rnacentral:lncRNA from 1 species
GAAUGUGGUGGAAGUGAUGAUAUACCAGUUACAGACACACUUUUUAAGAGGAUUGCAGCAUCCAGGUCCCCCUCUAAGGUUUCUCAUUCUUGGAACAAUUCUUGGAACUCACCCAUCAUACUGUGAGAAACCCAAGCCACAUGUAUAGGACACAUGUUGAUGAUCCAAUUGACAGUCUCAAGCGAACUCUUUGCCAAUAACCAGCAUCAAAUGCUGCCAGGUAAAUGGGAAAUCUUGGCUGUCCCAGCACAAUUGAGCCCAUAGAUGAUGCAGCCAAAUCCAAUUUAUAAGAAACAAGCAACCCCAUUUAGUCCAGUCAACACUAAAAAUAGCGUGAAAUAAUGAAAUAGUUAAGCCAGUAACUUUUGGAGUGGUUUGUUAUAAAAUAAUAGAUAAUUAAAAUAGGAGUCAGCUGUGUAUAGAGGUUAAUGAAGCCAUGAGAUGGUUAAGACAAUCAAUAUGUGACAUGAAAGAAAAAAGGCUAUCUUAGUCUGUUUUCUGUUACCUGAAUUCCAUAAACUGAGUAAUUUAUAAAGAAAAUAAAUGUAUUUAUUUCUUACAGUUCUAGAGGCUGAUAAGUCCAAGCAUAUGGUGCCAGCAUCUGGUGAGGCCUUCUUGCUGUGUAAUCUCAUGGCAGAAGAGUGGAAGGACAAGUGAGCACAUGCAAAAGGGAUUGUACAAGACUUAUCUUUUAGUCUCCAGAGGCAGAAAAAAAGCAGAAAAGGUUGUUGAAAUUCUUCACAUUGAUUUCAGGGCAAUGAUCUCAAACGGCGCAGUGGGAACCCGCAAAUUUAAGAGGGUAGUUUCCCUGCACAAGCCCUUUUUUUGCCUGCUGCCAUCCGUGUAAGAUGUGACUUGCUCCUCCUUGUCUUCUACCAUGAUUGUGAGGCCUCCCCAGUUAUGUGGAACUCAAAGCUAGAGGAAACCAAAGUCAUAGAACAUCUGAACUCUGUCCAAACAUCGGUCGUAUUUCAAAAUUUCAGUAGCCACCAUCCCGCAGCCAACGAUAAUAUCUGACACUUCCUGACAUCAUGAAAGCCACCAUCUGUCUAUCACCAAAACCCUGUACUUUUUAAAGACUACUUGGCUUGAUCCUUAAUGAAGCUUCAAGUUGAAUGCACAGAUCGCUUUAGAAGGAAUACAAGGAAUAAUUGACACAAGAGAUCUCCUGGAAAAAGCCUUAUACCUAAUAUUCUUGUUUGGAGGAAGAAACUGGGAAAAACAUCUGUCAUCUCCUCACCAGACCGAGUCUCGUUCUGUAGUCCAGGCUGGAGUGCAGUGGCGGGAUCUCCACUCACUGCAAGCUCCACCUCCCAGGUUAAAGCCAUUCUCCUGCCUCAGCCUCCUGAGUAGCUGAGACUACAGGCACUCACCACCACACCCGGCUUAUUUUUUGUAUUUUUAGUAGAGACGGGGUUUCACCGUGUUAGCCAGGAUGGUCUCGAUCUCCUGACCUCGUGAUCUGCCUGCCUCGGCCUCCCAAAGUGCUGGUAUUACAGGCGUGAGCCACCACGCCAGGCCACAAUCUUUCAUUUUUAUAAUAAAUCAUUCAUGUGUAAUUGGUUUUAUUCUGAUCAUGAUGCUGAAACUAAAUGUUUUGGUCUUGGGUGAUAAUGGAAGCUUAAAGGUAAUAUCAACUACAAAGAGAGUUUUUAAAUGUUUGGCCUGAAUAUUAUCAGCUUAAAAUUUGCACUAUUCUAUACCUGUUUCCCUUACAUAUCAAUUACUACUAUAUCACAUUUCAUUGGGUAGGAAUAAUAAAUAUUUUCAUUAAAUUACUUUAAGAGAUCAUCAAUUAAUAUACAUUUUCUAAUAAUUAUUAACAUAAACACUUUAAGAUGUAUUUUAAUGCAAACUAAAGAGAUUUAGAUACAUUCUGAGUCACAGAAUAAUAUCAAGAAGCAUAAUUUUAUGUCAAUCCCCACAAAUCAUAUAGCCUUAAAGAUGACUUUUUAAAUUUGUGAUUUUUUUUUCUUUUAGUUCUGCAGGAUUUUUUUUUUGUUCUUAUUGUUGUUAACAAGGAAUAACAUCUCUUUUCAUAAUUAUAGCAACAAAGUUUAGUUAAACAAAUUCAUCAGAUUUUAGUAAAUGAUAGCAUUCUAACUCUCAAAACAGUUAUACCUAAAUAUAUUUGGUACAUGUUGUAAAACUAUAUUUAUUGUCUCAAGAGAAAAUGAAAUCUGGUUAUUAAGAUAUAUCAAGACUCUCCACUUUUUAAAUUAAGAAUAAAUCAAUUAUUGCUGGUGGAAUUUCCAAAACUAAUACUUCACCCAUCAGCCUAAUUAGUAAUUAAAUAUAUCAAUAGCAUUGAAAAGAAGAGUGGCAUAUUAGUUAAGAUGCAUGAACUAUAUAAAGGUACAAUUCUCUUUUUAAAUGCACAUAUCCCAACAAAAUUUCUUUCACAAUAUGGCUAUAAAAUCAUAUGGUGAUUAACAACUGUAAAACUAGACAAAAUUUUUUCACUGUUUUCAGAAUAUAUUACUCCUUUUGGUAAACUGCUGUGGAAAAAAAAGUGCAGCUGUUACAUACACAAAGUUAUCUCCCAUUGGCUAUGAGAAUUAUCUAAAUGUUGCUAGCUUUCAUUUGCUCUUGUCAUUUGCAAAUGUGCCAAGUCGACUAGCCUUUCUAUUAAAAUAAAGACU